UCUGUCAAAAAAGGACUUAUUACUCUCCCUCCUCUCUCUCUCUCUCUCUCUCUAUCUAUCUAUACACACACAUAGAGAAAACAGAACAGUGACAGCUAUGAAAGGAGGGAAAAACAAGAAUUCCGGUUUGCUAUCAGAUACAGAGACGACACCACCACCACCACCCACACCACCUUCUGAUUCCGUCGCCGGCGACAAUGGUGUGAAUUCUGAGAAGCCUUCCAAAGUUGAGGAGAAAGAAAGAGAUGUGGGUGCUGAAGGGGCUGACAAGGAAGAAAAGGAUGAAGAAGAUGUGGGAAUCCAAGAAGGGGAGGCUGAAGAGGAAUUGGCUGAUGCUGAAAAACCCAAACUUGCUGAAGGAUUUUAUGAGAUUGAGACCGUAAGAAGAAAGAGGAUUCGAAAGGGAAAAAUUCAAUAUCUAAUCAAAUGGCGAGGCUGGCCGGAGUCUGCAAACACAUGGGAACCUGUGGAGAAUCUAAUGACGUGCUACGAUGUUAUCGAUGCAUUCGAAGAGAGCUUGCAAUCAGGGAAACAGCGAUCUACACGUAAGCGUAAGCGAACUCAUGGGGUUACUCACUUUCAAAUCAAAAGAAAACAGCAGCACCAACAACAACAUUCCCCUGCAGAUGCUGCAGAUAAUGUGCCUGCAGUGAAGGUUAGGAUCAGUGAGGAACCUGUGCCUUCACCUCCUCUGGCUAGCUUGAAUGUGAUUGAUCAUGUGGAUAGAAAUGGUAGUGCUUUGAAUUAUAUCGAAGUGGAUGAAGUGGCUAAUGACAAUGAUUUAAUGUUGGAUUCCUCUGUAAAAGAAAUUGAAGGGCAAAACGAAUUGCAUUUUAAGCUUAGUGAACUACAGGGAGUGAUGGAAACAAAAGAGGCCUCUAUGGAAAAUGGAGUGAUGUCAUCAAAAGAGACCUCUGUGGAAAAUGGAUUGAUGGCAACAAAAGAUACCUCUGUGGAAAAUGGAGUGAUGGCAACAAAAGAGAUCUCUGUGGAAAAGGGAGUGAUGGCAACAACAGAGACCUCUGUGGAAAAGGGAGUGAUGGCACCAAAAGAUACCUCUGUGGAAAAGGGAGUGAUGACAACAAGAGAAGCCUCUGUGGAAAAAGGAGUGAUGACAACAAGAGAGACUUCUGUGGGAAAGGGAGUGUUGGAAACAACAGAGACCUCCGUGGAAAAGGGAGUGAUGGCAACAAGAGAGACCUCUGUGGGAAAGGGAGUGAUGGCAACAACAGAGACCUCUGUGGAAAAGGGAGUGAUGGCAACAAGAGAGACCUCUGUGGAAAAGGGAGUGAUGAUAACAAGAGAGACCUCUGUAGAUAGAUCCGACAAUGGCUUCACAAGUGGAUUUUCAACGGCCAAUGGAACAGAAUCACUUCAAUCUGGUCGCUACACAGGAGCUAAAAAGAGGAAGUCUGCUUCUGUUCGGAGAUUUAAACAGCAAGCUACUUCUGGUGUAGUGAAGGAUCUCGAAGAUGCUUUAGCAAAUGCUACCAGUGGCCCUUUGAAUGCAUUCAUGGAGGAAGAAAUGUACAAUCAUGGACUUGUGGGCAAUGCUUUGAGUUGUAAUAAUAAGUGUGAUCAGUUCAAUGAUACAUAUGCCAUAACAGAAAUUAUCAGGGCCUUGGGCUAUUUACCACCUAAUACAGAAAAUGGCUUGCAGGAUGUGUCUGUGACCUUUCUAGCUAAGAGGUCAGAUGGGAAGGAAGUUAUUGUGGAUAACAAGUUUAUGAAGACUAAUAAUCCACUUUUGCUGAUAAGCUUUUACGAGAAGCAUCUUCGACAUCAUCCCCCUCAAUGAGUGAGCUGCAGUGAAGGUGGAACUGGUCUAGCUCGACUUGUCUCUAUGUAUAGAGUGUUGGAAUUUUGUUGCAACAGGCCGUAGGUUGAACACUUUUGUAUGCCAAAUCCACGGAGUCGACAAAUCCCUGAUUCCAAUUAAUUUUGAAAUUCAGAGAACUCUGAGAAGAAUGACCAACAAUGGUGUUCAUGAAAUAGGGGAAGAAACCAUAAUAAGAUUGAUGGCUGAGGAACGAGAGUGGGUACGUGAAGAGGAGGCAACUCAUCUAGCUGAAAACCAAUGUCGGGCUGCAGUUGCAGACCAUGUCAGGAUAGAUGACAUGGCUUGCCAAAAUGAUCCGAAUAAUUAGCUCAGGAGGAGAGGAAAUGGGGGUUGGCCACAUCAGCAACCUAGACAUGUUCCCCAGUUUGAGGCUGAGGGUGAUUAUCAUGUGGACUAGGAUGAUGUAGGAGCUACCGGAGCUACUGUUUUACCUCCAUUGCCUGCAAGGAAAAAGUUUGAUAUCACAGCAGCACUAUCCAGAUGUUGAAUAUAGGGAGAUUGUUCGCGGGAACAUGCUCUGAUGAUGCCCACUUGCACUUGAUGAAUUUUGUGGGUGUUUCAGAAGUACUUACAGUAAGCCUGGAGUGACUCGGGAUGCAUCAGAUUGCGAUUUUCCCACUAUCAUUAACAACAGAGGCAACCCUUUGUCUGGCUGAACUUCCGAAUGAUUCUAUUACCACAUGGACAGAACAGAAAGACGCAUUCUUAGAGAGAGAUAUUCUUUCCACCAUCCAAGAUGUUGUAGCUUAAAGAUGAGAUAUAUAACUUCAGGCAGUUGCUCGAAGAAGCUUUAUAUCAUACAUGAAUACAGUUCACAAAGAAGCUGAAGCAGGUACUGAAUCACAGGAUACCCGAUGAUUCGCUUUUGGGAAUCUUCUACAGAGCUAUAAAGUCUAACUAUAAGGCUGUUGCGGACAUUGUCACGGGAGGAACGUUUAUGAAUGACACCGUUGAGGAGGCAACUGUGAUACUUGAUAAGGUCACUAAAACAAAUAGAUCUUUGCACAUAAGGUAAGCAGAGAUUUCUGAGGGUACUUAUCAGUAGGUUCAGCUGCGGAGCAGAGGAGAAUGCAUGAGGAGUUGGCCCAAAUGAGAACUAAAUUCAGAAUUAUUGCAAAACAUCUCAUGGGCACUGGAGCGGAAAAAGUUAAUGCAGUAGGCUUACUUGGUAAAGAACCAAUACAUGAGGAUUAUGAGUAUGAUGGGAUGUCCACUAUGUGAAUGAUCAGACAACAGGUUUCCGGACCAACGCCUAAAGGUCUAAUCAAGACACUUGGUGCGAAGGUCAAAACUUUAAUAGAGAUAAAAACUUCAACCGGUAUGAGAACAUUGAUAGGAACAUUGGCCAGUAUAGAGAUGGUGAAUGGAUGAAGAGUGACAAUUAUAAAAGUGAGAGAAGUGAUGCAUAGAUUCCACUAGGAAAACGCGAUGGGGGAUCAGGUGUCUCAAGGAUCGAAGACAUGUUGGCCAAAGUGUUGAAGAGAGUUGAACAUCUGAUGAAAGUCUCAAGGAGAUAUGACAUAUCAAGCAGGAACAAAAGGUUGAGUCACAUGCCACAGCUAUUAAGCAGAUUGAGCAACAACUAGGCCAGAUGUCCACGACCUUGAAUCAAUGCCAGAAGGGGAUACUUCCGAGCAAUACAGUCCAAAAUCCAAAAUAUAAUGGGCAUGGCAUGAUAGUGACUACUCGAAGUGGGACCAGUGCUCCUCCUCAUUCUCCUCCACGUGGGUAGUUGAGAUUUCGUUUGAAGACUACUUUUUAAGAUGCCUUCAAGAAGAGUUCCAAUCCAAAAGGGCAUUGAUAUUAAUGAGUGUUAUUUUCGUUCAAAAUGGUUCAGAACCAUCAUUGGUAGUGGAUGUAAAAGCAAGGCAAAAAAUGAGUCCAACCUUAGUUAAAUUAAAUAAAUUGGUGGUUGAUAAGAUGAUUGUAGUUCUCUCAUAACGGGGAGAUAGGGUACCUAGUUAUCAAGGUUGGUUGUGUGUUCUACUGUUAAUGAUAUUAGAUGAGUCAUGAUAGAUAGAGAGAGAGUGUGUGUUCCAUAUAGUGAUGAUGGUGGCAUGCUUAUUCCAUUAUAGACAUAGAAGAAGAGCUAGAUGGAUCUUUUUGUGUGCAUUAGAUAGGUAAAAGUAUAUUGGUGUGCCCUUGGUAUGAGUUAAUGCAAAUUUUGAUGUAGAAAUGCUAAGGUAGGCAUGAAAAUUCAUAAGUGAUGUUGACUUCAAGGGAGGCAUAAAGUGGUUAAAAUGUUAGAAUUGAAUGCGUGGUUGUAGAUACGUGAGUGAUUGUAGUAGGCUAUUGAUGACUUCUUGUUAAGACUUUCAAAUGAGUGUAUUUGAAUGGUUAUAGAACUAGGCUUGAAUGUUGUAUUGAUGUCAUAUGGGUGAAGGUAUGAUGUGUUGGGUAUUUCUUUAUUAGGUCUCGUGGUUUGUUGAAUAUGGUAGUAAGGGGUAGUACUCUUGGAAUAGAAUUUUGUAUAAAGGUAUAGGGCCCUAAGGAUUUUUUUUUAAGGUGGCCUAUGGACAUGAUUUGUCAUUGGAUUUAGCCUCUGUUCAUCUGGUAUACCAUGUGUCUAUGUUGAGGAAGUGUGUAGGUGAUCCAAGUUUCAUUGUGCCUUUGAAAGUAGUGAAUGUUGAAGAAAACCUGAUCUAUGAGAAGGUUCUGAUUAAGAUUUUGGACCGGCAAGUCAAGAGGUUGAGGAACAAGGAAGUUGCAUCCACCAAAGUCCUUGGGAGGGAUACACAAGUCAAAAGUAAUACAUGGAAAGCAGAUGUGAUGAAGUGAUACCCUUAUCUUUUUCCCUCUACUCAAGACUAAGGGACCAGUGCUCCUCCUCAUUCUCCUCCACGUGGGUAGUUGAGAUUUCGUUUGAAGACUACUUUUUAGUAUGGGAUGGGAAGCACGCCAUCAAUGCAAGGUGACGUGCAUAGUUUUGGUAUCGUCUUACUUGAAAUGUUAAACGGGAAAACACCAACAGAUAACAUGUUUGGUGGCAAUUUAAGUCUUCAUGAUUUUGUCAGGAAUGCCAUGCCUGAUGGAGCACUUGAAGUAUUAGAUUCAGUUCUUAAUUUGGAAGAUGAAGAAACAAGCAGAGAGAGCUUUCGAAUUCCAAGAUUCAUGAGAAGGAAAAAAAUGGAGGGUUUAAUCUCCUUAUUUGGAGUUGGAAUUGUUUGUUCAAUGUAUGAUUCAGGUAAAAGAAAAAACAUCAAGGAGGUGGCUAGAGAGCUGUGUUCUAUUAGAGACUCUCUUGUUGGUUGUACAUGAAACACUUUUUUUGUUUUGUUAUGUUUUGUCAUGUAAGGUUCCAAUAAAAUAUUAUGAUUAAUAAUUUGAAUAUAA